rnacentral:antisense_RNA from 1 species
CUAUUUCCCUCCCUCUUGCCGUUCUGGAGGAUGAGGCGGGGUAGCUGGAAGCAAGAGAAGGGGUGCCGGGCUUAUUGCACCCCCAGGACCCCCAGGAUCCUCCCCCUCCCUUGAGGGACCCUAUACUGCUUACGCCCCCCCCCCCGCCCCGGCUGAACACGCUGCUGUUGGCCUCACCCUUUGGAUGGAACUUGCAGCGGCCGGGACAGAGUUGCGGUUUGGGGCAAAUCAAGUUGGGUUGGGGGCUCUGGAAGAAGGUGAGGAGUCUAUGGAGCAUAAAAGCAAGGAGCAGCGGCUGAGGCUCUGGGUGCAGGGUGUGGUUCACGAGGUCACCAAGGAGCCCUGGGACUGAAGCCCCUUUCCCUAGAACCCCGGCUCUACGUCUCGAAGUUCUGGAGGGUGCCGCCCCUCCGCACCACGUCACUGCAGGCUCUAGCUGCUCUUCCAGGCUUUCUGCUCCCUCUGCUGGCCGUUCUCACACAUGACACCCGCUCGGAGUCGAAGCAGAAGAGCUGGGGAACUGAAGGAGGAGCCCAGUUGAAGGAGGAGCCCCUCACUAAAGCCCACUUAAAAGCCCAGGAGAAAGUAUAAGCCAGGCGCGGUGGCUCACGCCUAUAAUCUCAUCACUUCGGGAGGCCAAGUCGGGUGGAUCAAGAGGUCAAGAGAUUGAGACCAUCCUGGCCAACAUGUUGAAACCUCGUUUCUACUAAGAAUACAAAAAUUAGUGGGCGCCUGUAAUCCCAGCUGCUCGGGAGGCUGAGGCAGAAGAAUCACUUGAACCCAGGAGACGGAGGUUGCAGUGAGCCAAGAUCGUGUCACUGCACUCCAGCCUGGUGACAGAGCGAGACUCGAUCUCAAAAAAAUAAAAAAGAAGAAAGAAAGUAU